GCAUUAACGAGGAAAAUUUUUCGUGGACGUACUUUUGCCUUUUAUUUUCCUCUUUGUAUCAUGGGCCUUCCCGAAGUGUUUCCCAUUGGAGAUUAUGGGACUCGUCAGUGCUAUGGUAUUUCGAUCGUUUUACUUGGUUCAACUUGUGCGCAAUCCUCUACGUAUCCUUUGCCUUCGUCUUCUUCCACCUUUCUGGAUUUUACGCAAUAGACGAUUCACCGCAGACUGGAUAUAACUCCAAGCUUGACAUCAUCCGGAGAACAAUUUUUCUUGACGUCUUUGCGGCACAGGAGAAACAACAGGUUUUUUGGUUUUUGGGGUUCGUUCACCCUCGAGUAACGGACUCGAAAAAUGCCGUCGCGAACUUAAUCCUCGGCUGUAUGCGCAUAACGGUUCUACAAGGUGAGAGGGCCAGCAGUAGUCAUCUCGAUGAGGUGGAUGGACCAGGACGGAGGAUGGGAUGAUCGUGAAGAUAGAGGAUGAAGAGGACGAGGAAGGCGUCACUCUCGAAAAGCCCUUUCUCCAAUUCUCAGAACGAAGAGAGCGUGGAGUCGAUGAAGAAGAAGAAUGAAACCGGAAGCGAGAUGACAUACGAUUAUCUUCUGCGACUGUGUGAUAACCUCGAGUGAUCGUUGUCAUUAAAAGGGAACGUGAGUCAUUAUUGAACAGGAACAUGGUUACUGAGUGACUGACUGACUCAUUGACUAGCUCAGAAUAAUCCCUAUAAAGUAUCGUGAACAACAAGGGAAAUUGAGGAACACGAAAGAAAUGGAUGAUCAGGAAGGACGCACGGAGGGGAUGAAACAAACUGAUGAUUCGACAGUGAAAACUUGUUGCAUGGGUACAAGAGGAUGAGGUGGAGAAGGUGGAAUCAUUUGCCACGACCUCGAACCGGUCCCUCCACGUGUUCGGACAAUUCAAGGACACUCACCCUGGUUUUCUACCAGGUAGCGCGCACCGGGUACCUGGUACCGGGUAUCUUGGUACCGGCCUGGUCUCCUCCAUCCGGAUGAUGCAGGGAGACCCAUCCAAACGCAGAGUCUUCUGCGUGGGUCAAUGGCCGCGCUUGGCCAGCUAGGAAUUUGGUGCAGGACGAAUCCUCAGGAUGCAGUGAUCAUCUUCAGUGGGUCUCACAGUCUCUGCACAGUCUGACUAUGAGGAUACUUUGACCAUUUCUACUGCUGACCUGAGGACCAUGCACGGAGAGCAUCCACCGGGACGAACCUAAAACCUAGAGCAGAAGGUCGACGGCCCAUCUAGCCCGGAGGCAAAGACUGGCACGCGGGCUCUUAAACACGCCUACCUAACUCGCAAAGGAGCAACGGAUUCGGAUGAUUCGAAAUUGCGAUUUAAAAAAGGAAUUAAUAGUGAUAGACGCCACCAUAAUUUUUAUUUUUAUUUUUUUUUUCAAAAUCUUAUGGAUCCGUCGUAAUUCCGUUGGGAUUUGUAUUUAAAAACAUGGAGAAAGAAACGACCUAAUCGAACAGGGACGGUGAAAAAUUUCAUGGUGGUUCUAUGGCGGUGCCUAAGCGGCCGUACGGUACUUCACCUCCGAGUGUUUGUUUAGGAGUGCAUUCACCUUCAUUCACGUACGCCGAACUCGGGGACCUACAAACAACCAUACAGGAGGGACUAGUCGAUGGGAUUCUCAAGGUUUCCAGUAAAGAUCUUACAGCGACAACGUUUAUUUAUUGCUUGGAUAAGUUAUUAGCCUCCGUCUGCGAAUCUGACCGAUUCUAGUCGAUUUUACAGGUACACGUGCUAGAAUAGGAGAAAGAAACAAGAAUUGACAUACAAAAAACUUGUCUGCUCUCAGCUGUUAAAAAACAUUAUUAUCAGUUUGCUAUCUAAGAAUCUAAUCGAUUCUAAUCAUAUCCAGUAGCUUUCAAUGCUAUGUAUAUCCAUAAGACUCAGUGGUCUAUGGUAGAAUUUUUAUGCUAGUUCUAAAGUAUCUCCUGUACAUACCGUACCCACUAUUCAUCAUACACAAAGUCUCAUAAGACUCUUUACUAGUAUCUCCUAGGUGAUGUAAUGUGAUGCAAAGUGGCACAGUGCGAGACUUACAAUUAGAAGAAUAGUCCGAUGUCAAGUUAUAAGUUUAAAGAAGAUAAUUUGACGGUAAGAUGGAACAAUUUGUUUUUCUCAGAUCGUCGUAUCUCAGAUAGUAAUUGGUAAAUAAUAUAUUUGAUUAGUGGAACUGGUAUUCCCUACUACUGUUACUGGUUCUGUGGAUCAUUGGAUGCCAGCCAAGAUAAAUGCAGCAUAAAUAAAUAGAAACUGCGUCCCAUCGCAUGCUGUUACAUACGUAGAUAAUGACAAGCGCAUAAUCAUUCGCAUACGUUAGUUGUUCUGAUAUUUAUGAAUCAUUAUGCAUCUCUUUUUUUUAUUCGUCACACACAAAGAUCUCAGCAGCUAGAUAUCAUGCGAUAAUCCAAAGAGGUGGGAAAGAUCUUUUUCUUCUUCCUCCAGACUGCUAGAACACUAAGGUCUAUACUAAACAGAAAGAAAUCAUAAAAGCGAAACAGUUUAUAUUUUGACUACCGAUGUGUUUUUCAUCGUGAAAUGCGAGUUGCGACUUUACUAAGAAAUUUCCAGUAAACCCUGUACAAAGGAAGGUCGAAAGUACGCUAGAUAGGAACUUUCGGUACAGUGAAGGUGAGAAAGCGCAAAAAUAAAUUGUAUUGCGUAAGCGGGUCGUCUAGUUCGUAAGAAAAUAUGUACAUAGAAUUUAUUUCAAAGUUAACACAGGGAUCUUAGAGCAUAAGAUUACAAAUAAGAGAUCGAUGAUCUGUAUGGUACAGAGUGUAUACUUAUGGAUCUAUGGAUCCUUUUAACCAAUGUCUCGGAAAAUUUUCUCCACCCGUCGUGACAGUUCAUGACUAUGGCCUCUAUGUAUCCGCGUACGUGUGCUUCGUAGUGCACGUGCACGGCCAAGGAUCAUCAGUUAUGAUCUUGAGGGAUAUUUUUAUGUGCUACGGAGACGAUCUCUCUCUAUCUCUCCUUUCUCUCCGUAUCUCUGCCUUUCUCUCUUGUUCUCAUCACUGACGAGAAUUUCUAAUGAGGGAUCUACCAGCGGGAAUCAGCACUGAGUUUAGAUUGCCUAUAGCACUCUGAGAGAAAGAUCGUGUAGGAGAAGGAAGAUUGAGAGCGAAAGAGAGAGAAUAGGACAGCGGGUAUGCAAAGUCACGUUCCUGGACCCAUGAAUGUCCAGGUGAUCGAGGUAUAUCUAUUGUUUCCAGGAAAUUCAUUAACGAUCCUAUUGAUUUUAUUAAAUUAUUAAUUAACAUACACACCGUACACAAUAGUAUUUCAUGCUUGUCGACGCGAUGAAGAUAACUAUUGAAAUCUUUGAUAAAUCAAAAUUAUAUCCUUUGUAAAAAUAACUAUUGUCUCCACGUGGUGAGAUCCAAUAGCUUGCGGCUCCUCCAGGAACUACUGUAACUCAGCUGUGUAUUCUCAGCCUAUCAAAGACUAUCCGUGUCCAAACAGUAGCCAAUAGCAAUCAAAGACCAUUCCCGCAAGGAAAACUUGUCCUUUCGAGAAAACUCUUCGUUUCGCAUGUUUCGUGUUAAUUUACACAGAAAAUAUUGACAAGUUUACGUCCGACCAUGUAAUCCCGUCCCGAGGAAUUUCUCCACUGUAUAAUUUCCAGUGUUUGACAAAAAAAAUUUGUUUCCUUCCUUAAUUCAUUCAAAUCCACAGGAGAUACACGAACCAGCCAAUAGGUAAGAAUGAGAAGAUAUUUAAUUUGAAGCAACAGAUCGUUGAUAAUUUUAAAACAAAAAUUCGAAUCGAUCGGACUUUAUAAAAUUAUAUAAAAUAAUAACCAAGUGUAGCUACCGUGAAAAUUGUACGCAGUAUAGAAAGCAAAGUUAUUUGCGUUCUUCGCGAGCUUCGUUUCCCGCGACUCGCUGUAUUUUUACCGCGUAUCAGUCGUGAACCGCGUGUAAAAAUAAAGGUGUAACGCGGGCACGCACGCGUCGCGACGACGGGGACCAGGCGUCGGUUCGCUGUUUGUCAAACUGCAGGCGAAGAUACAAGAUCCGAUAAUGGCCGGAGAUACCGGAUCCUGAUAAAGAGUGCAUACAGGCACUGAGUCAAACGGUCAAUAAAGGAGCGGUGCUGCCAGGCAUCGUCGUUGAGAGGAAAGUCGUCGAAGGACUUCAGAAUUUCUCCGUUACAUAUAUAUCCGCCAUGAGCUAUAUAUACAUAUAUGACGUACAGUAGAUUCCAAAAAUAUUGCAGAGUUCCAAAAACAAAAAGAUUUCUUUUGCACACUUUUUCUUUCUUAAAUUUUAUCACCAACUAUCAUUAACACUGUCAACGUUAUUGUUUGAAUGCAUUUCUCUUUGUACAUUUACCACACCUGAAAGCGUGACGGUACUUCUAGUACGUAAAGGUGAAGUCAAAGAUAAGAUGGAAGUGAUAAACAGAUAAAGCAUUGUACCUUGUCUCGCUAUAUGCUAUUUCAAGUUCACAUAUAAUAUAUACAUAGAUAUAGUAUAAUUAUUAUAAUUCUAAUUACCGGCGUUAUCGUCAAAACAGAUUUUUCUCAUUACUCGGUAUCUCUGAUACAUUUUUAUAUUCUCCAAGCUCUUCCACGCGAUUAACGGGAAUUCCCUGGUCAAUUUGUCCAAUUGGGAUUUACCAGAUUUACGUCUGUACUUCAGGGUCAUUCACGCGCUUGGCUUUUAUUCUUAUACAUACAUCGAUACCAACAUAUAUGUUCAUAGGCAUCGACAGGCAGUCUGGUAAAUUGUAAUAAAAAAAAUAAUUAUACUCAAUAACAGUAACUAAAAUCUAAUCGUAACUCAGGCACGUAUACGUAUCGAUACAUUAAUAAUUUAUUAGAGUAUUACGUAAAAGUUCAAAAUAAUCGAGAAAACAUCCAGAUUUUAUGAACAAUGUAUAUGUGUGUAUAGCUUAAUAUACAAUGCCCAGCCUAGGCAACUCUACGAACUGAAAAUGUGGUCAGUUCUCUUUUUUCGCGAUUACUUGACAUUGGUUAUUUCCGAGGUGUCGGAUUCCCGACCUACGUUAACUGGAGGAUGAUCGGACCGCCCCCGUGACUGCGUGAAAUUCGCGAGCGCGACUGUUGCCCGGUAGUCAGUUUGAGCGAGCAGGAUCUGCGCGUAGAAGAGAGAGCGAGCGAGAAAAAAGAAGAGUAUGACGUAGUAGGAGAAGAGGAAAAAAAAGAAACCCGCAAAAAUAAACGCUCGCAGACCCACAGACGCCGUCUUCCGCUGCUAAAUAUAGAGAACAACGUUGGGAUGUUGCGAAAGAACAAUUGUGUAUAUAUGUACGGCUGAUAUGAAAUAAAUGAUAUUUCAUGAAAAAUCA